rnacentral:rRNA from 1 species
ACGGUCCUAAGGUAGCGAAAUUCCUUGUCGGGUAAGUUCCGACCUGCACGAAUGGUGUAAUGAUCUGGACGCUGUCUCAACCGUGAGCUCAGUGAAAUUGUAGUAUCGGUGAAGAUGCCGAUUACCCGCGAUGGGACGAAAAGACCCCGUGAACCUUUACUAUAGCUUAGCAUUGAAUUUGGGCACGCGAUGUGUAGGAUAGGUCGGAGGCAUUGAAUCGGGCACGCCAGUGUUCGUGGAGCCGCUGUUGAAAUACGACCCUUCGUUUGUUUGAGUUCUAACUUCCGGAUAGAAGGACAUUGCUUGGUGGGUAGUUUGACUGGGGUGGUCGCCUCCAAAAGCGUAACGGAGGCUUCUAAAGGUGCCCUCAGGACGAUCGGUAACCGUCCGCAGAGUGUAAUGGCAAAAGGGCGCUUGACUGGGAGACAGACAAGUCGAGCAGGUAGGAAACUAGAGCAUAGUGAUCCGGUGUUUCCGUAUGGAAGGGACAUCGCUCAAAGGAUAAAAGGUACUCCGGGGAUAACAGGCUGAUCCCUCCCAAGAGCUCAUAUCGACGGAGUGGUUUGGCACCUCGAUGUCGGCUCGUCACAUCCUGGGGCUGGAGAAGGUCCCAAGGGUUCGGCUGUUCGCCGAUUAAAGUGGCACGCGAGCUGGGUUCAGAACGUCGUGAGACAGUUCGGUCCCUAUCUGUUGCGGGCGCAGGAAUAUUGAGAGGAGCUGUCCUUAGUACGAGAGGACCGGGAUGGACGUACCGCUGGUGCACCAGUUGUUCUGCCAAGGGCAUAGCUGGGUAGCUAAGUACGGACGAGAUAAACGCUGAAGGCAUCUAAGCGUGAAACUCCCCUCGAGAUAAGUGUUCCCAUCCUUCGGGAGUAAGGCCCCUUGUAGACUACAAGGUUGAUAGGUCAGGAGUGGAAGUGCAGUAAUGUAUGGAGCGGACUGAUACUAAUAGGCCGAGGGCUUGACCUU